rnacentral:rRNA from 1 species
AUUGAACGCUGGCGGCAGGCCUAACACAUGCAAGUCGAGCGGAUGAAGGGAGCUUGCUCCUGGAUUCAGCGGCGGACGGGUGAGUAAUGCCUAGGAAUCUGCCUGGUAGUGGGGGAUAACGUCCGGAAACGGGCGCUAAUACCGCAUACGUCCUGAGGGAGAAAGUGGGGGAUCUUCGGACCUCACGCUAUCAGAUGAGCCUAGGUCGGAUUAGCUAGUUGGUGGGGUAAAGGCCUACCAAGGCGACGAUCCGUAACUGGUCUGAGAGGAUGAGCAGUCACACUGGAACUGAGACACGGUCCAGACUCCUACGGGAGGCAGCAGUGGGGAAUAUUGGACAAUGGGCGAAAGCCUGAUCCAGCCAUGCCGCGUGUGUGAAGAAGGUCUUCGGAUUGUAAAGCACUUUAAGUUGGGAGGAAGAGCAGUAAGUUAAUACCUUGCUGUUUUGACGUUACCAACAGAAUAAGCACCGGCUAACUUCGUG